rnacentral:rRNA from 1 species
GACGCUGGCGGCGUGCCUAACACAUGCAAGUCGAACGAGAACGGGACUAGCUUGCUAGUUUGUCAGCUAAGUGGCGCACGGGUGAGUAAUGCAUAGGAAUGUGCCCUAUAGUCUAGGAUAACAGUUGGAAACGGCUGCUAAUACUGGAUAUUCCCUACGGGGGAAAGAUUUAUUGCUAUGGGAUCAGCCUAUGUCGUAUCAGUUAGUUGGUGGGGUAAUGGCCUACCAAGGCAAUGACGCGUAACUGGUUUGAGAGGAUGAUCAGUCACACUGGAACUGAGACACGGUCCAGACUCCUACGGGAGGCAGCAGUGGGGAAUAUUGCACAAUGGAGGAAACUCUGAUGCAGCAACGCCGCGUGGAGGAUGACGCAUUUCGGUGUGUAAACUCCUUUUAUAAUAGAAGAUAAUGACGGUAUAUUAUGAAUAAGCACCGGCUAACUCCGUGCCAGCAGCCGCGGUAAUACGGGGGGUGCAAGCGUUACUCGGAAUCACUGGGCGUAAAGGGAGCGCAGGCGGCCUAAUAAGUGUCUUGUGAAAGCCUAUGGCUUAACCAUAGAAUUGCAAGACAAACUGUUAGGCUAGAGUUCAGAAGAGGUAAGUGGAAUAGGUGGUGUAGGGGUAAAAUCCGUAGAGAUCACCUGGAAUGCCAACGGCGAAAGCAACUUACUGGGAUGAUACUGACGCUGAGGCUCGAAAGCGUGGGGAGCAAACAGGAUUAGAUACCCUGGUAGUCCACGCCCUAAACGAUGAAUGCUAGUCGUUAGAGGUUUUACACCUUUAGGGACGCAGUUAACACAUUAAGCAUUCCGCCUGGGGAGUA